rnacentral:rRNA from 1 species
AUUGAACGCUGGCGGCAGGCCUAACACAUGCAAGUCGAGCGAGCGGCGGACGGGUGUGUAAUGUCUGGGAAACUGCCUGAUGGAGGGGGAUAACUACUGGAAACGUUAGCUAAUACCGCAUACCAUCAGAUGUGCCCAGAUGGGAUUAGCUGGUAGGUGGGGUAACGGCUCACCUAUGCGACGAUCCCUAGCUGGUCUGAGAGGAUGACCAGCCACACGGGAAAGGGGACACGGUGUAGACUCCUACGGGAGGCAGCAGUGGGGAAUAUGGAACAAUGGGCACAAGCCUGAUGCAGCCAUGCCGCGUGUGUGAAGAAGGCCUGCGGGUUGUAAAGCACUUUCAGCGGGGAGGCGUUACCCGCAGAAGAAGCACCGGCUAACGCCGUGCCAGCCGCCGCGGUAAUAC